CUUACUAAGGACGUUUUCACUAUUAAAAUCACUGAGUUGCUAAAUUGAAGUAAAAUUGUUUCAUGUAACCCAGUUGUUGACAGGCCAUUCAAUAUAUUGAUGGCUUACUGAUCCCUGUCUUAUUCUGACACAAAUGCUUUUCAGUUUAGGGAAAAAGAAAAAGCAUAUUUCUUAGCAAUUAUUUGAAUAUGGUAUGAUUUGCAAAGAAUGGCUGAUAGUUGGGCCCUGAUCCCACAUAAUUAAAGUAAACAGUACAGGGACAUGAACUUCAUGCAGAUGAUCCAACCCACAGCUAUGUAACCUGGUUACUCCCUUUUAGGACUUGUUUUCAGAGGAGUAAGAUUGAAAAGAUUAUUUUCUGAAAGCAGGCAAUGACAACCCCUCUUCUUUUGUCUUGAAGCAGAGCAAAGAUUUUGUGGUAUCAUAAAUAAAACACUUCCUGCCAGCAAGAGCAGAGGGGAGGAACCUCCCAUUCUUAGUGCCUGUGAACCAGCAGCCAAAUUCCCAGCAGUGUAGGAGGACUCUGGCAGAUGGGCUUUGUCACUUGAGAUUAUUGCCCCCAGCUAUCUGCCAACGAUUAGCUCAAAUUGUAUCAAGGUCAACAGAAGGGGACGUGAAAUUUCUUCAGCUUCUACAGCUCACAGACAUGAGUGUCAGUGUCAGUUUUGACUGAAAUAGGUAAUGGUUAAAUUUCUAUUUAAACCAUAUAGCUGGCUAUGAGUUCUGGAUCUGAGCAGAUGAACAGCCUUUUACGCUGCUCCAGCAGGAACCUGGGGUCUCUUAGCCAUGUACACUGAUGUUCUACCUGAUGCAAGCUUGUUGCCACAAAGCCAUGAUUCACAGCAGGGGAAAGUAGGGAAUCUAGUGGAGUUAAUCAUAAAGACCACUGUCCCUUAGAGUGAAGAGUACCUGCCUCCUACCACAGCAAAGUUUUCAGAAGUGCUGACAGAAUAAGAAGUAAGUUAGAUACAGGUUAAUAUUAGAUGGCAGAGCUGAAAAGCGUAACUUUUUCCAUGAGUUAUGGAGUGCAGAUGCCAGCGUUACAUUCUCCUGCAGAAUCAGUCAGCAGCAACUACAAAUAUGGGAUUUAUCUUCACUGCUUGCUUUUGCACUUCCCUAGUUCUGUGGAUGAUUUGGAUGAGCCAAGUUCCUGUUACUGAGAUGAAGAACCCUGGUUCAUUACAAAGAGUCAGCCAGAAGAAGAUCUGCCAGGCACACUUUAGACGAGCUUUUCACUUGCUUGCUGGGAAGGUUUAGGGCAGCAGAUAAUGAGUGAUCUUGUACAGUUUGAAAGAGGCACUAUACAAGCGGAAGGAAGUAUUACUACUGCAACUCCUGUUGGUUAUCUUAAUUCUGUGAAUGGCAAUUCAGCUCUGUGAAGAAGAGAUUAUGUUAGCCUGCAGAACUUGGUCAGCUGUCCUUUACAUAGGCAAAGAAAAAAAACAAAAAAAGGUAAUUUUCUAGUAUUGUUCCCAUAAAGUAAUUGGAACUUGCCAAAAGAGUAUAUGAUUAAAUGAAUAGUCCCUUUGUUUGUUGAGUAGAAUGUUGAAGUCAUAUAGUAGUAACAGUACAUAAAAAUAAAAUAAAAUAAAAUAAAAUAAAAUAAAAUAAAAUAAAAU